rnacentral:rRNA from 1 species
CCUACGGGUGGCAGCAGUGAGGAAUAUUGGUCAAUGGGCGCGAGCCUGAACCAGCCAAGUAGCGUGAAGGAUGACUGCCCUACGGGUUGUAAACUUCUUUUAUAAAGGAGUAAAGUGAGGCGCGCGUGCGUUUUUGUCUGUACUUUAUGAAUAAGGAUCGGCUAACUCCGUGCCAGCAGCCGCGGUAUUACGGAGGAUCCGAGCGUUAUCCGGAUUUAUUGGGUUUAAAGGGAGCGUAGAUGGGUUGUUAAGUCAGUUGUGAAAGUUUGCGGCUCAACCGUAAGAUUGCAAUUGAUACUGGGAGACUGGAGUACAGUAGAGGUAGGCGGAAUGCGUGGUGUAGCGGUGAAAUGCUUAGAUAUCACGAAGAACUCCGGUUGCGAAGGCAGCUUACUAGACUGCAACUGACAUUGAGGCUCGAAAGUGUGGGUAGCAAACAGGAUUAGAUACCCUAGUAGUC